rnacentral:rRNA from 1 species
CAGCCGCCGCGGGAACACGUAGGUGGCAAGCGUUGUCCGGAAUUAUUGGGCGUAAAGGGCUCGCAGGCGGUUUCUUAAGUCUGAUGUGAAAGCCCCCGGCUCAACCGGGGAGGGUCAUUGGAAACUGUGAAACUUGAGUGCAGAAGAGGAGAGUGGAAUUCCACGUGUAGCGGUGAAAUGCGUAGAGAUGUGGAGGAACACCAGUGGCGAAGGCGACUCUCUGGUCUGUAACUGACGCUGAGGAGCGAAAGCGUGGGGAGCGAACAGGAUUAGAUACCCGGAGUCCCUGUCUCUUAUACAC